GAUUCCCUCAGUAACGGCGAGUGAAGCGGGAGAAGCCCAGCGCCGAAUCCCCUGUUCAAACGGACAGUGGGAAAUGUGGCGUUAGAAGGGCGGCGACCGGCGGGGAGUGCCCAUGCCCAAGUCAUUAUCGACCGAGGCCUUUCCCAUAGUGGGUGACAGGCCUUUAGCGGCAUGGGAUUUUCCGUCCACGACCGUCCUCGGAGUCGGGUUGCUUGGGAAUGCAGCCCUAAGACGGGUGGUAUACUCCAUCUAAGGCUAAAUACUGGCACGAGUCCGAUAGCAAACAAGUACCGCGAGGGAAAGUUGAAAAGAACUUUGAAGAGAGAGUUCAAGAGUACGUGAAACCGUCUAGAGGUAAUCGGGUGGACCCGUGAAGUCGGCCCGUGGAAUUCACGCUUUCUAGAGUUCGUUACGGUGUGUACUGGCGAUCCGUGCUCCUCCGACCGUGGGGUGGACGACUCGUCGUCGGGACGUUUGUCUCAUCGUUAUAGCGGCUCUUGGCAUGUGCGCUUUCCACGUGGCAGAGCGUUGCGACCGGUUCGUCGGCGGUGGUAAUGCCUUUGGGGAAGGUAUGUUCGUUGGACGGCGGAUAGUUACUUCGGUGACAUUUCGUUCGACCUCUGUGACCGUUACAGACCCAUGGGAGAUGGCCGCUGUCGGACCGAGGAACGACCACCCGCGCUUGCGGCGCGUCACCGUUCGUCUUGUUCAUGGGGGAUUUAUCUCACCGGACUGGGCUGCAUGGUGCGUCGGCGCGCGGGCUUUGAUAGGGUCAGCAACGAUCGGUCGGUAUUCCACCCGGCCCGUCUUGAAACACGGACCAAGGAGUCCGCCGUGCGCGCGAGUCAUUGGGCCUCACUAAGCCCACAGGCGGAACGAAAGCGAAACUUGGGUGGGAUCCUUGCCCUUUUUUGUGGCGAGGCGCACCACCGGCCUGUCCCGUUCUCGGGGCUGAGCUAGAGCGCGCACGUCGGUACCCGAAAGAUGGUGAUCUAUGCCUGAGUAGGACGAAGGCAGGGGAAACUCUGGUGGAAGUCCGCAGCGAUUCUGACGUGCAAAUCGAUCGUCGAACUUGGGUAUAGGGGCGAAAGACUAAUCGAACCAUCUAGUAGCUGGUUCCCUCCGAAGUUUCCCGUAGGAUAGCUGGCGCUCAUUUAGCAAUUUUAUCCGGUAAAGCGAAGGAUUAGAGUUUCCGGGGACGCAACGUGCCUCGCGCUAUUCUCAAACUUUAAAUGGGUAAGGUGCCGCCAUGUCUCGCUUGAUUUGGAGCGCGGACGAGAAUGAGAGCGCUUAGUGGGCCACUUUUGGUAAGCAGAACUGGCGCUGUGGGAUGAACCAAACGUUCGGUUAAGGCGCCCAACUCGACGCCGAUACAGAUACCAUGAAAGGUGUUGCGCGAUCCUGACAGCAGGGCGGUGGCCAUGGAAGUUGAAACCCGCUAAGGAGUGUGUAACAACUCACCUGCCGAAUCGCGCAGCCCUGAAAAUGGAUGGCGCUAGAGCGUCGGGCCGAUACCGGACCGCCGCGGCAAAAACAUUUCGAUAUGAUGCUGCGUCGAGUAGGAGGGUGCGCCGCGGUGAGCGCGGAAGCUUGUGGCGUGAGCCUGAGCGGAGCCGCCGCGGGUGCAGAUCUUGGUGGUAGUAGCAAAUACUCGAAUGGGACCUUCGAGGGCUGAAGUGGAGAAGGGUUCCUCGUGGACAGCACUUGCUGGAGGGUUAGUCGGCCCUAAGAGAUAGGAGAACUCUGAUUGCAUCGGGCCAUGGACGUCUUUCUAAAAGAGCGGUUCCGGCCCAGUUUAUCUCGAAAGGGAAUCAGGUUCAUAUUCCUGUACCGGUCGCGGCUGAGGGGUUUAUUCAUCGAGUUUAUCUUGCGCGGUAACGCAAUCGAAACCGGAGACGCCGGCGCCAGCCUCGGGAAGAGCCAUCUUUUCUUUGUAAGGGCCCCACUUCCCUGGAAGCGAAUUACUCGGCGAUAGGGAAACGGGUAUAGCUUGCCCGAAAAGCAUCGCGCGUCAGCGGUGUCCGUUGUGCUGGCGACGGUCCUUGAAAAUCCGGCGGAGAUAAGAUAAGUUCGCGACCGGCCGUACCGAUAUCCGCAGCAGGUCUCCAAGGUUAACAGCCUC
rnacentral:rRNA from 1 species